rnacentral:tRNA from 1 species
GGUUAUGGCUCAGUGGUAAGCGUUGGCCUUGCACAUGCAAGGCCCUGAGUUCGAUCCUCAGCACCA